AGUCAGAUGUGAAUACCUUUCCGCUCAACGAGAGAGAAGGGCAUUUGAAACUGCUUGGCUUGAGUACGGGAGAGGGAAGCGGAAUUCCCGGUGUAGAGGUGAAAUUCGUAGAUAUCGGGAGGAAGACCGGUGGCGAAGGCGGCUCUCCUGGUCCGAUACUGACGCUGAGACGCGAAAGCGUGGGGAGCAAACAGGAUUAGAUACCCUGGUAGUCCACGCCCUAAACGUUGGGCACUAGGUGUUGCGGGUAUUGACCCCUGCAGUGCCAAGGGCGAAUUCCACAGUGGAUA
rnacentral:rRNA from 1 species